CUCUGCUGGGCCAGUCCCUCUAUAUGUGCUGCGAAUCAGAAGACUGCAGGGCUUGUUCCCUCUCCGUUGCCGUGGGAGCACUCCCCUCCGGCUCUCCGUCUGAACAGCCGCUCUCUGCGCCGCCUCCGCUCAGCCAGCUGCCCCUUCUCCCGCUGAGCCCAACAGGACUUCCAGGAAUUUUGAAAUGGAGAAUGUUCGCUAUUUGAGGAUGUAGGGUUUAGUUGCCUCAGCCAGCUUUACGCACAUUUUCAGGGUGGAUGUGUGACGUCAUCUCCGGCACCGAUCAGCCUGUAUUCUUCGAAUGGAGGAGUAAGUAUUGAGAUACGCACAGACUGCACACACUGCACAGAAUGGGAAAAAACAUUCAAUGGUGAGUGUGAUGCGAACGGGUUUUGCAGCUGUCUGCUGACUGAGGGGAAUAUUCGCAC